AGGGACUCUACCCAACGGGUUGCUCCAAAAGCAUCUGAUAGUCCUAAAGCAUCCCAUCAGAUCCAGAAGGAAAGCAGAUCUACCCUCCCUGCUCUAAGAUGGCUCCAGGAUUGAACAACAUCCUGUUGGGUGACUUCUAUCAUCCAGAAGAUGACAGCCUCCUCUUUGACUCCUUCUGUCAAUAUCCUGGGUGCUACCCACCACGUCAGCGUUAUGGCUGUUAUUAUCCUGGUGGUUACCCCCAAUAUCCUGGCUAUGUGAUGCCUUACCCCAAACAGUGGUGUGGCCCCUACUAUCCCAAACAGUGGUGUGGCCCCUACUAUCCCAAACAGUGGUGUGGCCCCUACUAUCCCCAAAGGUGGUGUGGCCCCUACUAUCCCCAAAACAGCGGGGGCUCCUGCUAUCCCUCAAAGCUCUACCCAUGUUAAGCCCAGACACAACUUUGACCGAACAUCCAGGAAAGAAGAUGCAAGAUUCUGCACCUCGGCUGAAUGAGUGGACAGUGUUCAGAAAUGCUGAGCACACCAGAGACUCCACUGCACAGCUGAUGAGAUCUCUGAGAGUUCAGCACUUCUGUUAAUGCUUCAUAUGGUGCUUUGACUUUAUUCUUUGGUUUCCCAAUUUCUGCAUGCUUAUGUUAACAGGCACUGUUUCCCCGUCACACCUGUUGCCUUCUACUGCAGCUGUUAGUGAUGCCCUCAGACCCUUUGCACUUCAGCUGGGCUUGGAUAAAGGAUGUUCACUCUACAAAACCAAAGGGAAGAUGGAGGUGGGCCUUGUUGGCUUUGCCUCAAUCUACAAUUAUACCUCAGCUUUGUCUUUGCGAUGUUGGGCCCAGAAAGCAAGAUGUCAUCAUGAUUGCUUUUUCCAUGUUCCCUGUUGCACUGAUCUGCAUUUCCAAUGGGCCAUUUCUAUUGGUUCCUUUCUUUGUAUUCUUAAUAAAUUUUUUGGCAUAUCAUA